rnacentral:rRNA from 1 species
UACGUAGGGAGCAAGCGUUGUCCGGAAUCAUUGGGCGUAAAGCGCGCGUAGGCGGCCCGAUAAGUCCGCUGUAAAAGUCAACGGCUCAACUGUUGAAAGCCGGUGGAUACUGUCGGGCUAGAGUACGGAAGAGGCAAGUGGAAUUCCUGGUGUAGCGGUGGAAUGCGCAGAUAUCAGGAGGAACACCCAUAGCGAAGGCAGCUUGCUGGGACGUUACUGACGCUAAGGCGCGAAAGCGUGGGGAGCGAACAGGA